AGAGUUUGAUCCUGGCUCAGAACGAACGCUGGCGGCGUGGCUAAGACAUGCAAGUCGAACGGUACGUUGUAGCAAUAUGACGUAUAGUGGCGAACGGGUGAGUAAUGAAUAGGGUAAUGUACCCUGGGCACAGGGAUACCGCCGGGCCCCGCAAGGGGUCCUUUGCGAAAGUGGCGUUAAUACCUGAUGACAUCCUCGGGCGGCAUCGUCCGAGGACCAAAUGAUGGGGACCGCAAGGCCUAUUGGCCUGGGAACAGCCUAUUUCCUAUCAGCUAGUUGGUGAGGUAACGGCUCACCAAGGCUGCGACGGGUAGCGGGACUGAGAGGUCGGCCCGCCACAUCGGGACUGAGACACUGCCCGGACACCUACGGGUGGCUGCAGUAACGAAUAUUCCGCAAUGGGCGAAAGCCUGACGGAGCGACGCCGCGUGGAGGACGAAUUCCUUCGGGAUGUAAACUUCUUUUGGGGUGAAGAAACCAAAGGGCGAUAAUACCGCUCUGCGUUGAUCGAUCCCCGAAUAAGCCUGGGCUAACUCCGUGCCAGCAGCCGCGGUAAGACGGAGCAGGCAAGCGUUGUUCGGAAUCACUGGGCUUAAAGCGCGUGUAGGCGGCCCGGCAAGUACCUUGUGAAAGCCCUCGACUCAAUCGAGGAACUGCUCGGUAUACUGCCAGGCUUGAGGCGGGUAGGGGUGCUUGGAACUCUAGGUGGAGCGGUGAAAUGCGUAGAGAUCUAGGGGAACGCCUGUGGCGAAAGCGGAGCACUGGGCCUUGCCUGACGCUGAGACGCGAAAGCGUGGGUAGCAAACGGGAUUAGAUACCCCGGUAGUCCACGCCGUAAACGAUGCGCACUAGGUUUGUUGGCUUCUGACGGUCAGCGAGCCGAAACAAAAGCGUUAAGUGCGCCGCCUGGGGAGUACGGCCGCAAGGCUAAAACUCAAAUGAAUUGACGG
rnacentral:rRNA from 1 species